CGAACGCUGGCGGCGUGCUUAACACAUGCAAGUCGAGCGAUGAAGCACCUUCGGGUGUGAAUUAGCGGCGAACGGGUGAGGAACACGUGAAGAAUCUGCCUUCAACUCUGGGAUAACUCCGGGAAACCGGGGCUAAUACCCGGAUAUGAGCCUUGAUCGCAUGAUCGGGGCUGGAAAGUUUUUCGGUUGAAGAUGACUUCGCGGCCUAUCAGCUUGUUGGUGAGGUAAUGGCUCACCAAGGCGACGACGGGUAGCCGGCCUGAGAGGGCGACCGGCCACACUGGGACUGAGACACGGCCCAGACUCCUACGGGAGGCAGCAGUGGGGAAUAUUGGGCCAAUGGAGGAAACUCUGACCCAGCGACGCCGCGUGAGGGAUGAAGGCCUUCGGGUUGUAAACCUCUUUCAGUAGGGAAGAAGCGAAAGUGACGGUACCUACAGAAGAAGCACCGGCUAACUAUGUG
rnacentral:rRNA from 1 species